rnacentral:rRNA from 1 species
CAAUAGCGUAUAUUAAAGUUGUUGCAGUUAAAAAGCUCGUAGUUGGAUUUCUGAUCGAGACAUCAGGUCGGGUCCGAGAGGAUCAUGUACUUUGAUUUUGUUUUGAUCAUCUUUGGGGAGAGCAUUUCUGGCAUUCAGUUGUCGGGAUUGGCAUCCUCAUCGUUUACUGUGAAAAAAUUAGAGUGUUCAAAGCAGGCCUCGGCCUCUGAAUACAUUAGCAUGGAAUAAUAAGAUAGGACUUUGGUGGUCUAUUUUGUUGGUUUGCACGCCAAAGUAAUGAUUAAUAGGGAUAGUUGGGGGUAUUCGUAUUCAAUUGUCAGAGGUGAAAUUCUUGGAUUUAUGGAAGACGAACUACUGCGAAAGCAUUUACCAAGGAUGUUUUCAUUAA